CCUAAAACAGUUGAGCCGUUUUUGACAAGAAAUUAGGACACCACCUUUUCUUCUUCGAAGGAGCAGCACCUUCGGCUUCUUUUUUUGGCAAAAAGCAAAAAACCUAACGCUAAGGAUCCCACAUGACUGCCAUCUUCAGUCACGUUUUCAAAAGAAGAUAGAAGCAAUUAUCAUCUUAUAGUAGCUGCCCAAAAUAAUGAUGUUGUCGGCCCAUCCAUAAAUUGCACGAGAUUUCUCAAAGGUUUAGGUUGAGAAAAUCCAAGUUCAUUUACCAAUUCACCCACUUAAUUGCAAAUCUUGAUGUCAAGUUUUAUUCCCACUAGUAUUAAUCAAUCACUAAUCACUCUUUAUGAAAAACUAGCGAGGCGUUUCUGUUAAUGGAAAAAAAGAGAUUCGAGCUCACAUAAAACACCCUAUCUGAUUUGUGUACCAAGAUGAAUUAAUCAUCCAAAAGUUGGUGGUAGUCCACGAUGGCUGGCAUCAGUCAGAGUACAUCAACAGAUGCCGAUACGGAAGAUAAGAACAAGGGCAUUUGAGGCAGUAGGAGUUCGAGUCCAAGCAUUCUGAGUUCUGGUCGUGAUUUUGUGUCAUCUCAGAUCCUUGUUGCUGUCUUUCUCGUUUAGUUUUCACACUCAAAGUUUGUAGUCGACCAGUUUCAUUUUGCUAUUCAAGGAAAAUUGCUAUUUCAGAUCUGGUUAUUUAUGUCUCUGCUUGAGUUUUUUUUACCAAAUUAAAGUUGCUGGUUCGAGCUAUGCCGCUAAGCUUAUGUUGUUUGUCGGUUCGUGGUAGUUCAGCUUCGAGUUCAAGGAUUACGUUCAGCUCAUAUCUAAUUAACAUCAAAAAGGUCCUCACUCUCACUGAGGUUCAACUCUUCAAUCCUCUACUCAUUUUAUUCUAGCUGAGUGUUAAUUGCUUGUUUGGUGAUUUGGUUCUGUGAUUUGUUUGGUUAUUGUGUCUAGUUUUGAGUUUGGUCAUGUAGUUAUCUACUCGCAUGCUACUCGAAUUGGUGAUAGCUGAACAUGAUUUUGUUACAGUAUAGAAAUUGAGCUGCUAUUCUUCAACUAAACUACGUCAAAUUAGAUUAAAGGGGCUCGGGUGUGCAUUCCACGUGACCUGCCAUAAUUUUGAAUAAUAAUAAUAAUAAUAAUAAUAAUAAACAUGUUAUAAAUCCGGGUGUGCAUUUCAUGUGACCCAACUUCGAUUUCCAAUAAUGUUAAAUAAAAUAAACGUGUCGUGAACCGUAUACGCAUUUCAUGUAGCGUGGUUUACGAUAUGUUUUCAACAAUCAUGAAUUUUCCUAAAAACAUUACAAGCAGUUAGAAAGUUAAAAAUGCACAAUAGGUUUAAAACGUGUAAUAAAUCAGAUAAUUAGGCCAAUAAUUAUAGUUGAGCGACCAUACUAAAACCACGGGAACCCGGGAAUGCCUAACACCUUCUCUCAGGUUAACAGAAUUCCUUACCCGGAUUUCUGUGUUUCGCGGACUGUAAAAUAUAGUCAAACUUUUCCUCGAUUAGGGAUUUUAAACUGAUGACUUGGGACCCAUAUAAUUAUCCCAAGUGGCGACUCUGAACUUAAAAAAUAAUCUCGUUUCGAUUGUCACUUAAAUUGAAAAAAACUGUCUUAUACCCCUUUCGGGGGUGUGAAAAGGAGGUGUGACAAGUUUGGCGCCCACCGUGGGGCUAAAUAUAAUAGUUAUUAUUUUCUUGCUGGUUUCAUUACAAAAACACAAGUUAUCUUUCACACUUUUUCUUGUCCGAGAUCUUUGAUUUCAGAUCAAAAUGUCUGGCUUGAUAAACAGAGUUGAGAACGAUAACCCCGAAAACUACGGGGAAAACGCAUGGCUGUUCCACUCCCGGAACGCAACCACAAAAUCCCAAUGAUGCGUCCGGACCGAUUCUAGCAGACACGGAUUCACAGGACGCACAACAGGUCGACGAAAACUCACACACCGACAGAAGCAUACAUCAUGGCAACCAACUAGAAGCCCAAAAAACCCCGGCUCGGAAAGCGCAGGAAGUUAGUCUUCACAAUAUUUUUGAAAUGUUGCAGGCACAGCAGUUGGCUAUUGCUCAGUUACAAAGCCAUCCGAAGAGUCCCAGCACAAUAGCGCCGGAAACUACUCCCCCAACCGAAUAGGUACUAGAGAGGUCAAGCAAUGACGGAUCGGUAACCAAUCCUGCCAUCAUGAGAAUGUUGCAGGAUCUCACCAAAAGGAUCAAGUAAGGCGAGAAAAUGAUAGCAGCCAAUGAUAAGAAGGUCGAAAUCUAUAACUUCAGAGUCGACCAAAUCUCGGGCGCGCCCCCGGUCCUGAAAGGUGUAGAUUCGAGGAAGUUGAUGCAAUGGCCGUUCCUAGAGGAAGCGGCUCUGAAACCCAUUCCAAAGAAAUUCAAAAUGCCAGAACUCCCAAAAUACAACGGGACCACAGAUCCCAACAAAUACGUCACUGCCUACACAUGCGCAGUGAAGGGCAAUAACAUAAAAUAUGAUGAGAUCGAGGCAGUCCUGCUGAAGAAAUUUGGAGAAACGCUCUCGAAGGGGGCCAUGAUGUGGUACCACAACCUAGCUCCCAACUCCGUAGAUUCGUUCGCCAUGCUGGCGGACUCCUUCAUAAGGGCGCACGCCGGUGCCAUCAAGGUAGCAACAAGGCAGUCUAAAGUAUUCAAGACUAAGCAGAGGGAGAACGAAAUGCUGUGAGAAUUCGUGUCUCAUUUUCAGAUAGAACGAAUGGAGCUACCCCCGGUCUACGACGACUGGGCAGUUCAGACAUUCACUCAAGGCCGGAAUGAACGAAGCUCGGUGGCAUCAAGGAAGCUGAAAGAAAAUCUGAUCAAGUAUCCUGUCAUAACCUGGUCGGACGUCUACAACCGAUACUAGUCAAAGAUCAGGGUCGAGGACGACCAGCUGGGAGCCCUUUCGGGCUCAGUAUACUCGAGCAGGCUCUUGACGAGGGAGUAAAAAUCGAAUAAAUAGAGGUACCAGCCAUACCCCGAUGAUAGGAGAAAUGCUCCAAAGCGCAAUCCGCCCCAUAAUGAUUGAUUGGUAAGCCAAGGACAAAACCCUUGGGGACCCCUCAAUAGAGGUGGCUUUGACGGAUACGCAGGGCCAACAAGGGCACCCCGCCUGUCAGAGUACAACUUUAACAUCGAUGUGUCGGACAUCGUGUUCGCCAUUAUCAAAGUUAGGGAUGCCAGAUGGCCUAGAUCGGUAUACUUGGUUCCUUCCCAAAGGAACUACAAUUUGAUUUGCGAGUUUCACAACUCGCACGGGCACCGAACUGAAGAUUGCCAACUGCUCUAUAACGGGCUAUAAACCAAUCUUGAGAAGGAGAAACAACCAAAAGGAAAAAAGCAGGAGAGCCCCAACACGUUGUCCAUACGAUUUUUUGAUGGUCACCCCAGAAACAUUCAAGUAAAGGACCACUUAGAAACCGCCAAAUAAGCGCCAGAACUCGAAAGCGCCGUCACCACCAAUGUAUAAUCACCCUCCUUCAUUUUAUCCUCUACUUCACGAUAACACUUGCGCCGGCCAGCGACCAAGGCAAUCGGGACGCCACUCCGACUCGAAGACCCUGAGGUUUCAAAGCGUCCAUUUCACUCUUUUCCUUUAAUCGGUUUUUUAUCCCAAAAUGGGUUUUUACCGGCAGGGGUUUGUAACGAGGCAACACCCACGCACUUCCCAAAAAGGAUUCAAUGAGCCUACGGGACUUUCUUUGCAACCAACCCCGCUCUAUAAAUAACGAACGAGGCUCCAAUAGGAAAUGAUGUACAUGACCAAACAGUCCAAGGAGCCGCGCCCACGCGGGCCAAGCUUUCAACAACAAAAUAUCAUGUAUUUACGCCAAGCAAUAAAGAAUAUCUUUCAGCAUCUCGUACUCUAGAAAAGGGAAUUUCAGUAUGCUCAUAGCAAGGGUCCCUCCACCAAAUGCGUCCCGAAGUACUCGGAGACUUAACGUCAAUAUUUUGGCACCCGCACGGCCCCACAGUCAGAACUCCGGUCUUAUAAGGCCCCAACGAGGGAACUACGGGCUCAUAAGGCCCCAAUGAGGUAACUCCGAGCUCACGAAUUACGGCCUUCGAGCCUAAGCAAACUUGAUGACUGUCGCCAAUAUCCAUACACUAGAAAACCAGAGGCCGUAAGACCCCGGGCGGGCAGACUCGGUAUAACCAGAUCUAUUCUACAUAGUAACGAAAACUGUAAGACCUCAACAGGCAUGACAAACUGUAAGACCGCAAUAGGUAUGAUAAAUUGUAAGACCUCAAUAGGCAUGACAAACUGUAAGACCUCUACAGGCAUGACAAACUGUAAGACCCUAACUGGCAUGAAAAUUUUGUAAGACCUUACUACAGGCGUAAGACUCAAUCCCAAAGUUUAGGCUAUACGUCACAUUUGUAUGAAUCCCGAAAGGGCAUAUCCUCGUUGUAGAUGCCUAAACUAUCACUCGGGAUCAAAAAUAGCUCCGGUCAAACUCAUAUGACUACGGCCAAAACGGCUACACCAGACACAUUAACGCGACUCGGGGAUGCCCGACUGUCGCUAACAAAAUCACAAGCCACUACUUCUAAUAAACUUCGAAAAGAACCGGUUAAACAGGUUUCCCUCAACAGGAAAAGGAGCUUCGACGAUGUCAUCUCCAAAUCACAAGGCUUCGAGCUACUCAGCCUAUGAGCUAAGAACCUUCUGAGGUGAUUGAACAUCACCGCUAACGACUUGAAAUCGAGGUUCUUCCCGAACUGACGACGGGUCAGGCAAAAUUAUUUCAAAAAGACCUUAAUGAGAGGAAAACAAAGCCUAAAAUAUGCCCACGGGCAAAAGCAUAAGAGCUAUUGUCGCCAGCCAAACAAGCCUCCGGGCCACACACUAAAAGGUUGCAACGACCAACAGCGUAAAAGCCACUAUCGUCAGCUUGAAAAUUGAAAACUUGAGGAUUAAAAUGAGCUCGAGUCGUAACCCGAUUCGGAGACCGGAUCCAAAAUAGUUAACUAUACAUGCCUAAGGGCCACAUACAUAAAAGGUCGCUCCGACCCAAGGCAUAAGAGCCUUUGUCACCAGCCCAUGCAAAUGUAAAACUCGAGGGUAAAUUGAGCUCGAGUCGGAUCCCGGCUCGGAGACUGAACCUGAAGAUGGUUAAAGUACGCAAGCCUAAGGUCAAAAAAUGAAAGCCUCUAUCGCCGGCCUAAUAAACAUUGGGGCCAUAUUGCAGGUCCGGAGGUUUCUGCCAAUCCCAAGGUUGAAUCGACCCGAUUGAAUUCCCGACGAGCAAGAGUACAGAAGAUACAAAUUGUGGGGUUCCCCCUCUUAUUUUUACAUAUUGACGGUGAAGCACAAUCUCAACCUACAACAUAUAAUGAAAGCUAUAUAAACAAAGAAUAAGGCAGGGAAUAGACGUUCCCCCUUUAGGCAACUAUCGCCCGGUGGCCUCCUCCUCACAUUCCUCGGCAUCGGACAGAAGGAACUUGGCAUCAUACUCCUCUCCUUUAGCUUGCUCGAUCUUGCCCGAGAGAUCAAAUCCCAUGGCAUGAAUCUCCUUGAGGAUUUCCCUCUGGGAUCUGCACCUCACAUAUUCCUUGCUAUUGCUUGCACGAUCGAAGGCCCUCUUCAGCUCAGCUUUAGCAGCGACAGCGCUCCUUGAAUAGGCCGCCAUUUCUACCCCACCCUGGUAUUGUUCAUCACAGCCUCGACCCAGACAUUCACCACCUCGGUUUUCGCCCGAGCAGAAUCGUUCGCACAGACGGUCUGGAUUUGCGCCUCAAGAGCGGAAGCCCCAUCAUGAUACCUCUUUUUGGCCACAAAAUGGGCAUUCACAUGCGCCUGCAGCUCGGUGAAUUCGCGUUUGACUUGGCCAUCCUCGCCCCGGAGUUGUCCCAGCUCAUCCGACUUGUCCUUCAACUGAAAUAGCAAAAUAUGAAGAUGCCAAGAUAAAAAUGUUUCUAAGCUUUUCUCCUAAUUUACAAGGAAUUACGGGGUGAUCUACCCACAAAAUUAAAGAUCUAUGAGUCUAGUUUCCAACGCAUUAAACUGUAUGUCAAUACGAUCUCGGAGUAUAGAGAUAUUCAUAUUUUUGCAAGCCUGCGCAGAUUGGUAGAUGACAAGUAGGUGCAUCACCUACUUGCCAAAAUGAUAGGACAAAAUUAAAAGACCUAAGUCGGAGAGGACUUUUAAGGGGUUAUGAACUCAGUUAUUUCAUCCAUAUUUCAGACCCUCAAAACCAAAGUUAACCCCUGCAACUCCUCCCCAAAAAUCCCACACAAACCCUAAUCAAUUUUUCCUCUCUUUCAAGUUCUAUUUGAAGGUUAAACCUAGAGUUUGAAGAACCAAGGGAAGAGCUGAGUUAUCCAACAAGUAAGGUAAGUUACUACCAUCUUUCAUAAAUUUUUUGUCUGCUGUGAAUUAAUGGUAAUUCAUUCUAUACAUGUAAGAACUCAUGGGACGGUGAUCGAAAGUCGUGAGUUCGAGUUAUUCACUUGUAGCGGACUGUUUUGUGGACUAUUUUUUGUUGCUGUUGGUCUGCGUAUUUUACUACUGUUUUGUGGAGUUUUGGAGGUGGAAGGGUGUGGAGAAACACCAUAUAUAUGUAGGGUUUUGGGCUGAUAUAUAAUCGUAACAUUUCCGGGUCAUUUGACACGACUACGGUGGCCAUCGUAUGUAUGAUGUAAUUAGGUUGUGCGUGGACUGUUUUGGGAGGCUCAAUAUGUUUAUUAUUGAUGUUGUUUGGGCUGUUUGGUGAUUGUUUUGAAUGGUGUGAAGUCAUAUAUAUAGGGGAGGUGCUGUCCGUUUCAACGUAAAAUAGGUUGUGGUCGAUACAUAAUAGUUAUGACGCUUAAAUGAUAACGAUAGUAUCGUUUCUCUUAUUGUAGACUAAGGAGUUGUGACAAUUGCAUAGCUUGUGAUUGGAGCAGUAAUACAAGGUAUGUGAGGCUAUCCAUUUCCUUCCUUUGCACGACUCCUAUUGUACAUAUGUAAUGAACGAGCUUCCAAAGAUACUCUACUCUUAGAAGCUAGCAAUACUUACAUUGCUUUCCCUCUUAUGGAACGAUUGAUGUUAAUGUUGCUUCUCUUAUUCUUAUGUUAUUAUUGUUGUUGGUACUUGCUGAUUCCUAUAAGGUUCAUAGUGAAGAGUUAGUCCUAAUAACGUGUACAGAGGAUACCAACCUUACGUCACUCCGAAAGGUUUAGAAUGUGAUUCCAUGAGUCGAGCAUGCAUUAUAUAUAUGUAUCUAUUUUACUCUACCGAGUCGCGCUAUAGUCGGCCGGGUGCGACACCUAUUGUGCAACUACUGAUCAGUUGGAUUUUACCGAGCUCCACGUGGCCGGGUAGGAUUCUACCGAGCCUUAUGAUGGCCGGGUACGUUUUUUACCGACCCUAUUAUGGCUGGGUACGAUAUGAUGAUGAUGAUGAUGCCCACAAAGGCGUAUGUUUUAAAAGUUUAUGUAUACAUACAUAUGUAUCAUGCAUUUCAUGUCAGUAGCCCUCAGAGGUACUCAGAUGUUCCAGGUUGUAUAUUCUCUAUCCCUGCUUACAUUACUGUUCGUAUUUAUGGUUCCCUGCCUUACAUACUCAGUACUUUAUUCGUACUGACAUCCUUUUGUUUGUGGAUGCUGCAUGCCAUGCUUCGGGCCCUGAUAGACAGGCAAGUACAGCUCCCUCACCACAGUAGGUUGUCCAGUUCAGCAGUGAUUGGCGAGAUCCCUUCUCCGGACUUGCCGUGGUCUUGGUAUGCAUUUUUGUUAUAGAUAUUAUGGGUAUAUCGGGGCCCUGUUUCCGCUAUGUUGCAGCACUUAUGUUCAUUUAGAGGCUCAUAGACAGGUGUCGACUCAUGUAUAGUUUGGUAUGCCUUGUCAGCUGGUUUUUAUUGUAUAGUCUUUCAUGGUAGCGUGGUAGCUCGUACCUUAUAUGUAGUUUCUUGAUUAUCUGGUCAUCCCUUGUUAUGUAUGUUCAUGCCAUAAUAUUUUAUUGUUGGUUGUCC
rnacentral:lncRNA from 1 species